rnacentral:rRNA from 1 species
UCGGUAUGGGANGGGGUCGCGUCCUAUCAGCUUGAUGGCGGGGUAACGGCCCACCAUGGCUUCGACGGGUAGCCGGCCUGAGAGGGCGACCGGCCACAUUGGGACUGAGAUACGGCCCAGACUCCUACGGGAGGCAGCAGUGGGGAAUAUUGCACAAUGGGCGCAAGCCUGAUGCAGCGACGCCGCGUGCGGGAUGGAGGCCUUCGGGUUGUAAACCGCUUUUGAUCGGGAGCAAGCCCUUCGGGGUGAGUGUACCUUUCGAAUAAGCACCGGCUAACUACGUGCCAGCAGCCGCGGUAAUACGUAGGGUGCAAGCGUUAUCCGGAAUUAUUGGGCGUAAAGGGCUCGUAGGCGGUUCGUCGCGUCCGGUGUGAAAGCCCAUCGCUUAACGGUGGGUCUGCGCCGGGUACGGGCGGGCUGGAGUGCGGUAGGGGAGACUGGAAUUCC